GAGGAGAGCUGACGAGCACGCCGCGUGAGUGAGAAGGUUUUCGGAUCUGUAAACUCUGUUGUUAGAGAAGAACAGGACGGUAGUAAAUGAACGUCCCAUGACGGUAUCUAGCCAGAAAGCCACGGCUAACUACGUGCCAGCAGCCGCGGUAAUACGUAGGUGGCAAGCGUUGUCCGGAUUUAUUGGGCGUAAAGCGAGCGCAGGCGGUUUCUUAAGUCUGAUGUGAAAGCCCCCGGCUCAACCGGGGAGGGUCAUUGGAAACUGGGAGACUUGAGUGCGUAAGAGGAAAGUGGAAUUCCAUGUGUAGCGGUGAAAUGCGUAGAUAUCUGGAGGAACACCAAUGGCGAAGGCGGCUCUCUGGUCUGUAACUGACGCUGAGGCUCGAAAGCGUGGGGAGCAAACAGGAUUAGAUACCCUGGUAGUCCACGCCGUAAACGAUGACUGCUAAGCGUUGGAGGGCUUCCGCCCUUCAUUGCUGCACCAAACGCAUUAAUCACUCCGCCGGGGGAGUACGACCGCAGGGUUGAAACUCAAAGGAAUUGACGGGGGCCCGCACAAGCGGGGGAGCAUGUGGUUUAAUUCAUACCAACGCGAAAAACCUUACUAGGUCUUGACAUCCUUUGACCACUCUAAAGAUAGAGCUUUGCCUUCGGGGACUAAAUGACAGGUGGUGCAUGGUUGUCGUCAGCUCGUGUCGUGAGAUGUUGGGUUAAGUCCCGCACGAGCGCAACCCUUAUUGUAGUUGCAUCAUUUAGUUGGGCACUCUAACGAGACUGCCGGUGACAACCGGAGGAGGUGGGAUGACGUCAAUCAUCAUGCCCUUAUGACUGGGCUACCACGUGCUACAUGGAGUACACAGGCGCUAACCGCGAGGCGUGCGAUCUCUAAAGCUCUCCAGUCGGAAUGGAGCUGCACUCGCUGCUGAACCGGAUCGCUAGUAUCGCGAUCACACGCGCGGUGAUACGUCCCGGCCUGACCCCGCCGUCAACGCGGAGUUGUAGACCGAGUGGUGAGUACCUUUUGAGCGCC
rnacentral:rRNA from 1 species